rnacentral:rRNA from 1 species
CCGUAGCCCAAGAGAUCGGGAUAACACCUGGAAACAGAUGCUAAUACCGGAUAACAACAGAUGAUGCCUAUCAACUGUUUAAAAGAUGGUUCUGCUAUCACUCUUGGAUGGACCUGCGGUGCAUUAGCUAGUUGGUAGGGUAACGGCCUACCAAGGCGAUGAUGCAUAGCCGAGUUGAGAGACUGAUCGGCCACAUUGGGACUGAGACACGGCCCAAACUCCUACGGGAGCAGCAGAU